CAUCCGCGUAUGCGUUCAUCGGGAGUGGAAAUGUCCAUGACUGCAGCUUCCGCGCGAUGGUCGCAGUCUAUCGCUGUCGCAUAGUCGCGUCCUGUGGUUUUCGUCGACAUGCCGAGACGAUGUUGGAUAGUUGGCUGCCCUGAUUUACGUCAAUAUUCGCCUGGCAUCCAAUGUCAUAUGCUUCCCAAUGACGAGACGGACAGCUUUUGAUGCCAUGAAGCAAUCGGACCGCCGGGGUGGAAAGACGAUGCGGUGCCAUCGACUGCUCAUGUUUGUAGCGGACAUUUGCAUGACUGAAUUUACGAAGGGUACGCUGAAUCUCUUCAACGUACUGGAUAACGAGGUCAGUGUCGUCUGAAUCAAGGUGUAGCACCAUCACAAUGCCUGUCCACAGCGGGGAAAGAACAUCCAUCUAAACGGCGCAAAAGUGUGACUUCCUCAGCGGAGCCUGAAAUCCCUUAGGGCAGCCCAUGUGUAUGGCAGCUGAAGUCUUUCACCAGGGUAACAUGCCAGAACAACUCCAGCAAGUGCAAUGCAGGUCACCUCUAAAUUAAAGGAGCCUACCUUUGAUGCGCUAUGUCCUCAUGAGAUUUUGUUCCUGCUACAACUCUGCGCUUUGUUUCACAUUACCAAAAAAUAACCCUACCAACCAUUAUCAUACCAGUGGUGUACUGCUGUGCUCAACCAGUUCAACUUGCUCUGGGCAUCCUGCAUGGCUGUGCAGCUACUUCAG